rnacentral:rRNA from 1 species
AGCGAACGCUGGCGGCAGGCCUAACACAUGCGAGUCGAACGAACCUUUCGGGGUUAGUGGCGGACGGGGGAGUAACACGUGGGAACGUGCCUUUAGGUUCGGAAUAACUCAGGGAAACUUGUGCUAAUACCGAAUGUGCCCUUCGGGGGAAAGAUUUAUCGCCUUUAGAGCGGCCCGCGUCUGAUUAGCUAGUUGGUGGAGGUAAUGGCUCACCAAGGCGACGAUCGGUAGCUGGUCUGAGAGGAUGAUCCGCCACAUUGGGACUGAGACACGGCCCAAACUCCUACGGGAGGCGGCAGUGGGUAAUCUUGCGAAAUGGCCUAAAGCCUGACGCAGCCAUGCCGCGUGAAUGAUGAAGGUCUUAGGAUUGUAAAAUUCUUUCACCGGGGACGAUAAUGACGGUACCCGGAGAAGAAGCCCCGGCUAACUUCGUG